GAUGAACGCUGGCGGCGUGCCUAAUACAUGCAAGUCGAGCGAACCAAAGAGAGCUUGCUCUCUGAGGUUAGCGGCGGACGGGUGAGUAACACGUGGGUAACCUGCCUGUAAGACGGGGAUAACUUCGGGAAACCGAAGCUAAUACCGGAUGAUAAAGAGAAAGGCCUGUUUCUCUUUUGAAAGUCGGCCUUGUGCUGACGCUUACAGAUGGGGCCGCGGCGCAUUAGGUAGUUGGUGAGGUAACGGCUAAACAAGGCGACGAUGCGUAGCCGACCUGAGAGGGUGAUCGGCCACACUGGGACUGAGACACGGCCCAGACUCCUACGGGAGGCAGCAGUAGGGAAUCUUCGGCAAUGGACGAAAGUCUGACCGAGCAACGCCGCGUGAGCGAUGAAGGCCUUCGGGUCGUAAAGCUCUGUUGUCAGAGAAGAACAAGUACCGGAGUAACUGCCGGUACCUUGACGGUACCUGACCAGAAAGCCACGGCUAACUACGUGCCAGCCGCCGCGGUAAAAC
rnacentral:rRNA from 1 species